AAUUCAUAAUUUCUUGGGGGGGGUUCAUAUACUCAAAAAGGAGGUAUAAUUUCAUGUAAAUGAAGUUUAUUGACCAUGAAUUACAGAAAAAAGUAAUGUAAAACUUGUGGUAAUGAGUUGGAAUGAAGUUGGCUUAAAAAGUGUAAGACAGAAUUAGGUGAUAAUUUAUAGUUUAUGUUUUA